AAGCGGCAACAGCUCAAAUUUGAAAUCUGGCGUCUUCGGCGUCCGAGUUGUAAUUUGCAGAGGGCGCUUUGGCAUUGGCAGCGGUCCAAGUUCCUUGGAACAGGACGUCACAGAGGGUGAGAAUCCCGUACGUGGUCGCUAGCCUUUACCGUGUAAAGCCCCUUCGACGAGUCGAGUUGUUUGGGAAUGCAGCUCUAAAUGGGAGGUAAAUUUCUUCUAAAGCUAAAUACUGGCCAGAGACCGAUAGCGCACAAGUAGAGUGAUCGAAAGAUGAAAAGCACUUUGGAAAGAGAGUUAAAAAGCACGUGAAAUUGUUGAAAGGGAAGCGCUUGCAGCCAGACUUGCCUGUAGUUGCUCAUCUAGGUUUCUACCUAGUGCACUCUUCUAUAGGCAGGCCAGCAUCAGUUUGGGCGGUUGGAUAAAGGUCUCUGUCAUGUACCUCUCUUCGGGGAGAACUUAUAGGGGAGACGACAUGCAACCAGCCUGGACUGAGGUCCG
rnacentral:rRNA from 1 species